AUUGAACGCUGGCGGCAUGCUUUACACAUGCAAGUCGAACGGGGUGAGGGGGCAACCUCUCAUUCAGUGGCGAACGGGUGAGUAAUGCAUCGGAACGUACCCUGUAGUGGGGGAUAACGCCGGGAAACCGGCGCUAAUACCGCAUAUUUCUCUACGGAGGAAAGCGGGGGAUUCGCAAGAACCUCGCGCUAUGGGAGCGGCCGAUGUCCGAUUAGCUUGUUGGUGGGGUAAUGGCCCACCAAGGCUACGAUCGGUAGCUGGUCUGAGAGGAUGAUCAGCCACACUGGGACUGAGACACGGCCCAGACUCCUACGGGAGGCAGCAGUGGGGAAUUUUGGUACAAUGGGGGCAACCCUGAUCCAGCCAUGCCGCGUGCGGGAAGAAGGCCU
rnacentral:rRNA from 1 species